GCGGACGUGCCGGAGCGGUCAAACGGGANNCCUACGCAGGUUCGAAUCCUGCCGUCCGCA
rnacentral:tRNA from 1 species